rnacentral:rRNA from 1 species
GUGAACGCUUGCGGUAGGCCUAACCCCUGCCAGUCGCACGGCAGCACAGUAAGAGCUUGCUCUUACGGGUGGCGAGUGGCGGACGGGUGAGGAAUACAUCGGAAUCUACUUUUUCGUGGGGGAUAACGUAGGGAAACUUACGCUAAUACCGCAUACGACCUACGGGUGAAAGCAGGGGAUCUUCGGACCUUGCGCGAUUGAAUGAGCCGAUGUCGGAUUAGCUAGUUGGCGGGGUAAAGGCCCACCAAGGCGACGAUCCGUAGCUGGUCUGAGGGGAUGAUCAGCCACACUGGAACUGAGACACGGUCCAGACUCCUACGGGAGGCAGCAGUGGGGAAUAUUGGACAAUGGGCGCAAGCCUGAUCCAGCCAUACCGCGUGGGUGAAGAAGGCCUUCGGGUUGUAAAGCCCUUUUGUUGGGAAAGAAAAGCAGCAGGUUAAUACCCCGCUGUUCUGACGGUACCCAAAGAAUAAGCACCGGCUAACUUCGUG